AUUGAACGCUGGCGGCAUGCCUAACACAUGCAAGUCGAACGGUAACGGACCGCUGGGAUUCCUUCGGGAUGACCUUGGUGCCGACGAGUGGCGGACGGGUGAGUAAUACUUAGGAAUCUGCACAGUAGUGGGGGACAACCAGGAGAAAUCCUGGCUAAUACCGCAUACGCACUACGGUGGAAAGUGGGGGAUCUUCGGACCUCACGCUAUUGGAUGAGCCUAAGUCGGAUUAGCUUGUUGGUGAGGUAAUGGCUCACCAAGGCGACGAUCCGUAGCUGGUCUGAGAGGACGAUCAGCCACACUGGGACUGAGACACGGCCCAGACUCCUACGGGAGGCAGCAGUGGGGAAUAUUGGACAAUGGGCGCAAGCCUGAUCCAGCAAUGCCGCGUGUGUGAAGAAGGCUUUAGGGUUGUAAAGCGCUUUCACCGGUGACGAUGAUGACGGUAGCCGGAGAAGAAGCCCCGGCUAACUCCGUG
rnacentral:rRNA from 1 species